rnacentral:rRNA from 1 species
CUGGCGGCGUGCCUAAUACAUGCAAGUCGAACGGAGUUAGAGACUCGGUUUUAACUUAGUGGCGAACGGGUGAGUAACGCGUGAGCAACCUGACUCAAAGAGGGGGACAACAGCUGGAAACGGCUGCUAAUACCGCAUAAGACCACAGGGAGGCAUCUUCUAGGGGUCAAAGAAAUUCGCUUUGAGAGGGGCUCGCGUCCCAUUAGAUAGUUGGUGAGGUAACGGCCCACCAAGUCCGCGAUGGGUAGCCGAGCUGAGAGGCUGAUCGGCCACACUGGAACUGAGACACGGUCCAGACUCCUACGGGAGGCAGCAGUAGGGAAUAUUGGGCAAUGGGCGCAAGCCUGAACCCCCAGCAACGCCGCGUGAGGGAAGAAGGUUUUCGGAUUGUAAACCUCUGUCCUAUGUGACGAAGGAAGUGACAGUAGCAUAGGAGGAAGCCCCGGCUAACUACGUGCCAGCAGCAGC